rnacentral:tRNA from 1 species
CGGGGCGUGGCGUAGUUGGUAGCGCGCAUGGCUGGGGGCCAUGAGGUCGCCCGUUCGAAUCGGGUCGCCCCGA